AGCAAACAGCAGCUGUCCUUUUCGUUCGAACAGUGUUCCUCAAUGGGCAUGUCAAGAUGGUUCAGUAGUAUGCUUUUAAUUUGCAGGUAUCUGAAAAUAAGUCAUAGGUUAUAUGUUCGUUAUAGGAAUUGGGAAAUUGUAGUGAUUCCAGCUUGUUCCCAAGAGGUCACCAUGAGCCAGCGGGAAACUGUGAGCAGAGUUUUCAACGGGGCUAAUCCUUGAAAUUUAAGAGAGUUAAGGAGUAG